AGAGCAUGCCUGAACAGAAAGAACAUUUGGCUGAGUGGGAGAGGGUAUACUUGUAACACUUGAUUUGGAUCUGUUUGGAUAAAUAACUUAAUAAUUAACGUCAGCCCUCUCCCACUCAGCCAAAUGUUUUUUUCUGUUCAGGCGUGCUCA
rnacentral:pre_miRNA from 1 species